GAUCAUGAAGCUGUACUCCCAGUACAGUGGCACACAAUGAUCCCCAUGCUUUGGGUGGUAUGAACAGCAGCAGGAGACCAAGUGCUUCACCUGUCUGGCUGUGAACUCCCUCUUCCCUCAGCCAUGCAGAGAUACACAGCACUGCAGAGAUUGCAGUCAAACAACUGAAAACAAGAAGAAUUCUUACAAGGAUCAUGAGGAAUUUGAAAAGACAUCAAGGCUGCAAGAAAGCCAGAAAGAUCUACAGAGACACAUAGAUGAGGCUAGACCUGAGAAUUCUACUGACACUCUCGAAGUCUGAGAAGACUGUAAAACCAUAUACUUUUUCAAAGAGGCUGCUGAAUUACUGGUCUUCCACAGUAGGUAGUAGAUAGUAGAACAGUUUAGAAAUGUUAUGUUUCACUGCUCUUCACUAAGCUCUGAAAUGUUAGAGAGAAUAACUGUAAAAAUAAUGAUGUCAUGAUUCAUAAUUUUAGUAACUGUUAAGAAUAUUACUUAUAGAAGGCUGAAAAUAAGUCAGCAUAGACCACAGAAGUUCAGGUAGUAGCAGAGAGACAGUUGUAUUACCAAAAUCCUUAAUGAACACACAUGUGAGUACAUUAGGUGCUGAAUAUUGCCAUUGACUACUCAGGCAGGCAAACCUAGCUCUUUCCAGUUCUGCAUGGAAGUGGUAACAGGGCAAGUCAGAGCAGAAGACAGAAGAGUGAGAAAGCCAGUUUCUCAGGGGAUGGGCUAGGGUAUUUUGAAUUCACAGUGACAAUUGCUCACUGUUUUUGGCAUUGUUGAGUGAAGAAAAACAUCACACGACUACUGCUGCUCAUGGGGGAUAAAUGCUGAAGACAGCUGGACCUGUUUCCAGUAAAGCAAUGAGCUGUAUUUUUUGUUCAUCACUCAGUUGUAGACUGGCAUCAAGAGGAUCAAAAAUACAUGGAGUGUGACAGAA